rnacentral:rRNA from 1 species
UACGUAGGGUGCAAGCGUUGUCCGGAAUUAUUGGGCGUAAAGAGCUCGUAGGCGGUUUGUCGCGUCUGCUGUGAAAAUCCAGGGCUUAACCCUGGACCUGCAGUGGGUACGGGCAGACUGGAGUGCGGUAGGGGAGAUCGGAAUUCCUGGUGUAGCGGUGAAAUGCGCAGAUAUCAGGAGGAACACCGAUGGCGAAGGCAGGUCUCUGGGCCACUACUGACGCUGAGAAGCGAAAGCAUGGGGAGCGAACAGG